GCGAGAGUGGCGGAAUUGGCAGACGCACUAGACUUAGGAUCUAGCGGGUGACCGUGGGGGUUCGAAUCCCCCCUCUCGCACCA
rnacentral:tRNA from 1 species